GACGAACGCUGGCGGCGUGCUUAACACAUGCAAGUCGAACGGAAAGGCCCUGCUUUUGUGGGGUGCUCGAGUGGCGAACGGGUGAGUAACACGUGAGUAACCUGCCCUUGACUUUGGGAUAACUUCAGGAAACUGGGGCUAAUACCGGAUAGGAGCUCCUGCUGCAUGGUGGGGGUUGGAAAGUUUCGGCGGUUGGGGAUGGACUCGCGGCUUAUCAGCUUGUUGGUGGGGUAGUGGCUUACCAAGGCUUUGACGGGUAGCCGGCCUGAGAGGGUGACCGGAGACAUGGGGACUGAGAGACGGCCCGGAGGCCGACGGGAGGCAGCAGUGGGGAGUAUGGCGCAAGGGGCGGAAGCCUGAUGCAGCAACGGCGCGUGCGGGAGGACGGGCUUCGGGUUGUAAACCGCUUGAGCCGGUGACGAAGGGUGAGUGAGGGUAAUGGGUAAAGAAGCACCGGCUAACUACGUG
rnacentral:rRNA from 1 species